rnacentral:lncRNA from 1 species
CCCUAAUCAAAAACUAUGACAUCUGUAAUAUUCCAUAGUCUGAAACUUUUGGAGCUUCAUGUUGGUUUCAGAUUUGGUAGCAUUUCAGAUUUUUUAAUUAGAAUGCUCAGCCUGAAUGACAUUUAUGCCCUGAACUAAACUAUAAAUCUUACCACAAAGAUCCCUAAGUCGUAGGGCUGUCCCCAUUUUAUAAGACACUAAGAAACUCAGUUCCAUGGAGAUUAAGCCCCUUAACCAGGAUCUCAGAGGAAGUAAGUGUUGAAAUGAGACUUGAACUCAAUCUCUGUGAUUCUACCUCUGCCCUUCCCACAACCCUGUUCAAGAUCAGGGGAGACAGAGUUUGUUCUUAAAAACACAAGGGUCCUUAAAUUCAUCUUGAUAAUUUUAUCUGCCACCAGGGUACGUAAGCAUGUCUCAAACAGUCAAAAUUUCAGCAACUUCAUCCUUACUUAGAUGGUAGCCCAUAAAUUUAGAAAAAGACUUCAACUGCUCCAUUAUGAGUAACAUACAACCCACCGAGUUCAAAGGAACAAGGCUGUUGGAAUGGCAUUCUUCCUGUUUUGAGUCUGCCAUAUUUUAAAGUGGCAUCCUGUCUUUUGGGAUCAAGGACACUUUGAAGUGUAAGCAAUAGAGAUAAAUGUCUGGCCACAAUUCAACCAUCAGGAAACAUAUUUUGACUAUUUGAUGAAUCAGUAUCACUCUGUUCUGUCCCAUCCUUGAGGGUGUACUUAGUGUUCUGACCAGCAGAUACAUCAGGGAAGGAUUAAAGAGGUUAAGGGUGCUCCAGUUAAAACAGAGUAGAUUGUUACUCAGAAAAGAAGACUGAUCUCACUGCCAUUUUGAAAAUGUCACACCUGACUCAUGUACUGAGUGGCCCGUAAAAUUACUGGGAGGUCUGCCUAUUUCUGCAGUGGUCUGAAGACACUGCACCAUGAAGUGGCAGCAGUUGUGUGCCUUUGCACAUGUCACCUACACAAAGCUUUCUCUCCUGUGUUCAGGUCAUUCCCUGCUUGCUUUGGCAAAAACCCAGUAGAAGGAAAAGCCAGACCAAGAUGGGUCUCAGAAACCCCUUCCUCUUAAUAUCUGAAACCCAUCUGCCUCAAAGUUGGCCUCUGUUCCCUCAUUCAUGAAAUUGGGAGAGCCUUCUUUGUAAGUGUUCUCUUUGCCUGGGGGUUUUGUGAUGGCACAAACUAGUUUAGGAGCAUUAGGAUAUCAUGGGAAGAACAUGAAAAUUCUGGGUUUUUAUUGUUGUGGCAAGUUGGGGGCAGAUGAGGUCUGAGGCCACUUAAUAGCAUUUCAUGCACUAGCCUCUAGGGAGUUAGUUGGGGAAGGAAAUGUAGUCUCCAAAAGGAUAUUUCUUGAAUGAAAAGGAGCCCCAGAAAGUUGAGUCUCAUUAACUUUUCAGGUUGACAGAAGCUGACAGAAUGGAACGUGGCCAGGACCACAUCAGGCAUAGACCUUUGAGGAUAAAAAAAUGAUACAGUCUUUUACUAGAUGAGCUUCCAUUCAGCCCACAUUCCUGAAAACAACUGCCACUAAGUCUUGGACGUUAUGUGAAGCCCUUUGUCAUAGUAUCUCAUUUUAUUCUCACAAGAAUUUGAGAAGUGCAUUGCAGUCCAUCUUACUGAUGAGGAAGAGGGAUCGAGCUACUUGCCAAACCACACAUCCAAUAAGAAGAAAAGGUGUAACACAAACACAAGUUUAAUAAAACAUCCUAACACUCAUUCUAUAUUUAGAAAAAUGAAUUUUCAUUAUCUAGCAUGGCUCUUUGCAGUAAGUUUGCAUUGCAGAUGUCUCUCGGAAGUGUAAAACACUAUGGCACAUACUAAUUUGUAAUCCUUCCACAGAAUGAGUCACUUAAAACUGUUCAUCCCGUAUGACCAAGGCAAAACCAAAGUUUCUGGGUCCUUCUGGAAAGGACAUUAGUAAUCCACUGACCCUCUCCAGCUCAUUGUACAGGAUAAAACAAAACCAGAGAAGUGAGGUGAUAUGAUUCCCCCCUCCAGGGUGUAGAGCAGGGGGACCAACAGUUGCAGCUGGAACAGAGGACAUUCUGCUGCUCUGACCUCACGAAGGAGCUAGGAUCAG